UUUUUACAAACUUUUCCUUUUAAUUUCUCUAUUAUUUUAAUUAUCAUUAUUCUCUCGCUACCUUUAUAUUCCUCCCACUCAGACAUCAGAUCUUUACAAUCAUUACUUAAUUUCUCAAUAAGUCUAAAAAUAUUUGUCCUUAAAAAAAAAUAAAUAAAUAAAUUCCAAGUCCGUAUUUUUAAAUACUCAAUAUAGAUCGCUCCACUCGUCAAAUUAAAUUACAUGGAUUCAUGGAGGAAGAAAAAAUCUUAUUCUCAUUCAGAACAUUCAGAACAUUAGCAUUCGGUUUUAUAGCUUACAGUUAUCCCAUUUGGUCUUCUGUUUCAUUCAAUACUUCUCUAGAGAGAAAAAAUAUAAGGCUUUGUUUCUUAUCUUAAGUAUCGGAUUUCUCUGUAAAAACAAUAGGAAUCAAACUGGACGACGUUUUAUUGGUUGAUCAAUGCAAAAAGGAUUGAAGAAUU